GACGAACGCUGGCGGCGUGCUUAACACAUGCAAGUCGAACGAGGUCCCACCGCGUAGCAAUACGAAGGGAAGACCUAGUGGCGAACGGGUGCGUAACACGUGAGGAACUUGUCCCGGUCUCUGGGAUAACAGUUGGAAACGACUGCUAAUACCGGAUGACGUCGGAAUCUCGCAUGGGAUACUGACGAAAGGGUUACUGGAUCGGGAGAGCCUCGCGGCCUAUCAGCUUGUUGGUGAGGUAACGGCUCACCAAGGCAUCGACGGGUAGCUGGUCUGAGAGGAUGAUCAGCCACACUGGGACUGAGACACGGCCCAGACUCCUACGGGAGGCAGCAGUGGGGAAUCUUGCGCAAUGGGCGAAAGCCUGACGCAGCAACGCCGCGUGCGGGAAGAAGGCCCUCGGGUUGUAAACCGCUUUCAGCAGGAACGAAAAUGACGGUACUUGCAGAAGAAGGUGCGGCCAACUACGUG
rnacentral:rRNA from 1 species